rnacentral:lncRNA from 1 species
ACCAGCAUCCCACUGAGGUUUUCCCUGGGCUGCAAACUCUGCAGAUCCUCAUUUCUACAAUCGUGCAAAUAGGUUUUGUUCUGAAGCUAAAAGUAGAAGGGAAUAUUUUCCUAGAAUGAAGGCGAGAGCGUGGCUGGCUGACACCAGUAAGUUUUCUCUGGGGGAUGCAGAGCACUUGCUUAAGCCCAGAUGACACACAGGCUGCCCUGGGGCAGGCAGUGCUUGGGAAUUAAAACCAUCCUUUCCAACAGCUGUGGCUCUUUGUUACCAACAUGAAUAUAAGAGGAACUGUGGGAGGGAGCUGAAGAUUGACCAGAGGAGCACAUCUGCUGUUCAGUGCAUAUGGCAUGCUGCAACGACCAAACCCAGCUGGUUCUGAAGGUCUAGCUCAGGCACAGAAAAGGGAAAGCUUCACACCCAGUGCCAGGAGGCUCAUCUUUUUUAAUGAACUUUUGCAAGGAAACCAAGUAGCUGCUCUCCCCGUUCUUCGUGCCAUCUGCAGAACAUCCCAGGGCGCUCACAGGAGGAGCUUUGCAGGAGAGCGUUGGGCGAGAUUUACAACAGCCUCCUAACAGAGGCACUACGGCUGCGUUCUGGGGAUGUUAAAAAUAAUCGCCCUGAACGGAAAAAAACGCCGUUGUGCUGAGAGCAGCAGAUGGCAGCACAGCAUCACGAAUAGCAGCGACUCGGCGGAAGGUCUCCAGCCCGGCUGGAGGAUCUCUGGGGAUAAGGAAAGAGAGAGACCCUCAAAGAGCUGUGGAGUGAGGGCAAAUGCACAGAGUGGAUCUGGCAAGGAAUCAGAGGUGAGGAGGGAGCUGCCCUUCGUGUCACUGCCUCCCAUGGUCAGCUCUGCCCUGCAGGGAGAUCUGGCUCAAUAACCACUGCACAUAUGUAUGUCUCUGGUAUGGGAUGUUCUCCUCAUUCAACCCAAUUCUCGCUGGCAAACGUCAAGAACAUGGGCCAAGAUUCAUGCUGGCUUUAACUGUUAGCUGCCACAACAGCCUUGUAUGUGCAGGAUACAACUUCCAUUGGGCUUAUCUCUAGUUGCCAUUAACUUGCAGUGAUCUAUUUGAACGUUUUGAUCCUUGCUGCACCAAGA